CGGACAGGGGGGUCUUCGCCUUUCGGGGUGGAGCCUGUCCGGCAAGGUUGUGCGUGAUGUGCGUCAGGCGCGACCAGUGAUUGUCGCUCGGGGGUGAUCGCCG
rfam:Streptomyces turgidiscabies Car8 gcontig_1113219320835, whole genome shotgun sequence.